ACUUGAACUCACAGAAAUCUACCUGGCCUGUUUCUGCCUCUAGAAUGCUGAGAUUAAAGGUAUGUGCUACUACUCCCAGCCUUAUUAAUUUUUGCUUGCUGGUUUUUCAUAUACAAUACAUAUUUUCCUCUUAAAAAAUAGUCAAUAAAAUUUUUGAGAAAAUAGUAUUGAUAGCUAGGAAGAUGUGGCAAAAAAAAUCUCAGAAAUGGGAAAUGAAUGCUUACAUAUGAAACCUUCGUUACUAGAACAUAAAAUAAAAUGUUCUACCUGGAAGUACAUAACCACAGCCAUAAAGAAAGAGAUCACUUUGGAAGAAAUACGGAAGGAUGCAGAGACUAAAGCAACAGCCUAAAUUAGAGGUCAGCACAACAUAGUUAGCAAUAUUAGCCAGCUACUAAAGGUUCUUAUAUUUUCUACCUGGUCCUUCAUUUGAAAAGGUUAAAAAAAAAGUUUAUCAAUUGCAGAUAUGAUGAUGGAUGGAGCUGCCAAAUGAGUCUAUGGUAUGGAGAUGCAGCACCAACUUUUUCUGAAGCAGAAUCAACAGCAUUUAGUAACUUACCAAGCAUGUGAAGUAAAAUGUUGUUAAUAACUCUAUUUAAAGCUUAAGAGACAGAGAUACCAUCAUCUACAAGGGAAUGGAAAGGAGAAGACAAUCCUUUAAAAAUCAAAACAGGUUGAACUCUGACCCUAAGUCUCUGGUCUAGCUACUCUAGGCAGCUAUGGGAUUGUGGAUCAGGAGAGCUCUUCUAAUGUGGCCCUGGCAAGCAGUGUUCCAUUUUGGCUUUCUAGGGUACAAUGGCAGGGAAGGACUGCCUCUCUAACCUAGGUCCUCUUGGUCCACAUUUGUUCCUACGUUCAUGAUUCCAAAAGAUUUUAUUUCUGAACAUGAGUUGCAUAUCAACCUGGUUUCUAUGAUUUCCUGAGUUUUUUAAGAAGAUCUUAACAAAAUAUUGAGUUAGUUUACAUUAGUUAUGAAGAACAAGUCACAACAAACCAAAACAAGACAACAAACUUAUGGUUUCAUGCUGGUAAGAAAACAAACUUGCUUGAAAGUGGUCACUUGCACUAGAACGCAUGGUUUGUGUUUUUUGCUUACUUGCUUGCUUGUUUUGUUUUUCAGACAGGAUUUCACAUAUCCCAUGGUGGUCUCAAGCUCACUUAGGGGAAGGUUUUGGAGAUGCCCUCUACUGAACUUUGGAGAAUUGGUGCAAAGUCAAACACUAGGCCUGAAAGCGAUGGACAUGUGCAGCUUCCUCUGGGCUGGAUGUAAUGAUUGCCAAUGUGAAUCAGCACAGUGGUGAUAAAAAUGGACCUGUUACCAUUCUCAUGUGGAGGAGGGAAAGCUCAGGAGCCCCGCUCCCCUUCUUCAGCAAUAUAUAAGGGGGAAGUAGUUGCUGGAAGAAGACUCCAGCGAUGGAACUUUUAGAUUCAUCACUGAUACUGGAGUGGGUUGGUUUUUUGUUUUUUGGUGUGUGUGUGUGUGUGUGUGUGUGUGUGUGUGUGUGUGUGUGUGAGAGAGAGAGAGAGAGAGAGAGAGAUGCGAUGCUGCAGACUGAGUCACUGAUGUCCCUGUAACACUAUAAGCUCACUAGUGUACCAAGCUCAACUUGGAUAGAAUAUCUCCUUUGGUCUGUCAUUUCCCUCUGUCUAGAGUGAACACAAAAAGGCUCCCCAGGAAAAGUCACACAACUCAUGUCUCCAGAACUCAGCUACAUGGUACCACUUAAGUAAAGGCUGCUAGAAAUGGUAUGGCAAUAUGCUCAAAGGAGGCAAGAGGCACAAAUAUAUGAAGUCUGAGUCUUAUACCAACCCAGAGAUAAAGUGUUCCAAAUAAUUUGGGUGUCAAACUUCUAUUGAUUCAACUUUAGGUUGUCAGAGAUGAAUAUGCUUAUAAUCCACAAAACAGGAGCUGGAAAGGAAAAGUGAGAUCUUAAACUUGGGCCUGUGACUAAUCUAUGUUUAAGAUACAGAGAAAAAAGUCAAAUGACCAAAUAGUUGCUACUUUAGACAUUACUAAUGAUAUCAGCUGACAGAUCUGAAGAAACUGAUGGGUUUUCAAUGAAUCCAGGGCUUUAUUGUCUCAUAUUUUUAAUAACUACUUACUAUUCUAGAAGGUAUAGUAAAUACAAAGAAUAAGGAGUGUGCCUUACCACAAGAAAGCCAGAAGACAGUGGGAGAAAAAAACCAGACUCUGAUAAUUACAAUGUCUUAAAAUGACUAAUUCUUCUCUAUAGGAUUAGGGAAGGUUCGUACAUAGAAAAAAAGGUACUGGCAACAGAGGCCUCCACAGAAGGAAUUCCAAGCAAAAAAGGAAAACAGUCCAGAUGGAGUGACAAUAUGGAGGUCUUUAAAGGCUGGGUUGGGUAAUGGCGAUUGAUUUUAGUUUGUUUAGGAGUGUUAAGAUUAAUAAAAAAGAGCAGAUAAUGAGAAACCCAAGGUUAGCAAGCUAGCCAUUUUGGUUAGGUGAUAAGUGCAAUUAAUAAAUUAUGAGAAGAGCCAGGGCUACAUAGUGAGACCCUAUCUCAAAAAACAAAGAGAUUAUGAGAAAAACAAGGAGAAAAUACUGAAUUAAUAUAUACUGAAUUAAUAUAUACUGAAAUAAUAAUACUGAAUUAAGGUGAUGCUGAGUUGUUAGAAGUACAAUAGUAAGUUGACUAGCCAGGCACGGUAUUUCACACUGUAAUUUCAGCACUCUAAGUUGAGGAAAGAGGAUGAUGAAUUUAAGGCCAUCUAAGAUACUUAGGAAGAUUCUGUCUCAAAUCGGGGAGCGGGGGAAGAAAGAAAAGGAUAAAUCAAAAGGUCAGGAUUAGAAAAACAUAAUUAAUUACAGGGCCAUAGGCAGAUCAAGGACAAAACAAUCACUACAACCAUUUCAACUAUAUUCCCCAGAGUAAAUUCUCAGAAUGAGCAAGCAAGUAGGUAAGGCAUGGUAGCAGGCAUUAUCUUAGUCAUCUGACUUCUAGCAUUUACUCUGGUUGCUAACAAGCUUCUUUUGUUUAUUUCCUAAGCAUGACCACAACUAUCCCCCGUUAAGCGAAGCUAAACAUUUAGCAAGCAUUUGCCUAUUUAUUCAAAAGAAGGGGGAAAAAUUCACACCAGUGUAAAGUAAGGAACAUGUAUUGACUUGUUCUUCUGCCGCUCAGGCAGUGACAGUUGUGUGUCAACAGCACUGUCCGUCCGUGCUACACUCCCAGUCAUGCCAGUACAGUGACGCUCUUAGACAACACAGUCCAACUUCCCUGUACACCGAGCAGAGAAAAACUGACCGCAAAGGAACACGAGCUUCCUUUAGAGAAUUUACUUAAUCUCAUCAGAUCAGUGAUUGAAUACAUAUUUUAAAAAAGCAAAUUUUUGUGAACACUAUCACUUUUUUUUUUUUUUUUUUACAAAAAAUCCUUUCUGUUAAAGUUCCACAUGAAUACAGUUUAACUUCUUAUCUAAGAGGCUGCUUUUACCUUUUAGUUACCAACAUUUAACUUCCUAAAAUGUAAAACCCCUAAAUUAUUUUUAAAUCUUCAUCUUUAACAUUCUUACUUGGUUUAAAAUCAUGAUAAUCACAUAUCAAAAUUAUAUACUCAUCUAGUUAGAGAGUCAGUCCAAUGAGGCAAUCCAUUAGGGUGUAUAGAGAAAGGAUAACCAGUGAGGUAUUCACUGGAUCCUUUAAAUAAGUAGGUUUUAGAAAGACUUGAUAUGAAUUCCUUAAUCUCUGUCAAAGUCUGCCUGUUUACACUAGAUGCUUGGGAAACACUCAUCUGAAUAUUUCCAAAGAGGCAAGGCUUUGAGCAUGUGACUGACUUGCUAGCUAUAUUAAACAGCACGCAGUGAGAGAUCCCCUUUCAGAAUCAUUCUCCAGGACACUAGAGAAGAGCUGAAUUUACAAAUCUUCAAGAACACUUCAUCAAAUCAAAAGCAAAGGAAAAUGGUGAUCAAGCAUUCAUUCAUCAUCAGACUGCUCCUCAUGUAUGCUACUAUUAUGGGAACAAUUUCAACAUCAACAACCUCAAGUUCUACUGAAGGCUCAAUUUCUGGGAUGUCCUCUGUUCUUACCAUGAGCUCACAGACCACAACAAGCCAAAGUCCUACAACUACCACACAGCUUGGAAGCAGCCUCAACGCUGGGACAAAGCAUUCAGAGCCCGUCUCCAAGCCUACCUGGCAAGAACCCAUGUCAUCAAGCCCUAGCACAAAUGUGGUCACAGGUGGUGGCACAGCACACAAACCAAUGCCCAGUGCUCGCUCUCUCUGUUUGUGCAGUGUCUUUACUCUGUUGUGCAUACUCAGGCAGAAAUGAGCUGGAAUGCCUGCUCACUGCAGCCCCUCAUAGUAUUUGCUAAAUGGUAAGCACACUAAAAAAAUAAAAUUUAUUUUCAUUUUCUGCUUAAGAAAUUAUCAUUCUAGUGUGAUUUGGGUUUAUUAUAGUUUCCUUCUUAUAAGUGUAGUGCCCUAUUAAAUGCCAAAAUAAGCAAAACAUCACAUUUGUGUUUUAAAUGUGGGCAAAAUAGAAUCAGAACUCAAAUGUUUUUAUUAAAUGUAUGAGAAGAAAUUAUGUAGGAGGCAUUUAACCAAAGGGAAAGAAGGAAAUAGGAGAUGAAGAGUGAUAUGGGGGAAGCUGUUUUGUAUUUUAUUAUUUUUAAACAAAUAGAUUGAAAACAACCCUGGUAUGGUAUAAAGAACAGUCUUUUAUAAAACAUACUCAUCAGUGGAAUGCUAUUUUCAUGAGAGUGUGAUAACAAUGGGCCAUCCCAGUACAUUUUUAAAGCAGAAUACUGUUGAUCCAGUGGUAAGAGUGCAUUUUGAGUAAAUCUUGACUUGUGUUUCAAAGGACUGUUUUCAAAUUAGAUGCUUAGAACUAAGAACUCAUUUUAUCUAGAGAAAUGUCUCUUAACUGUUCAUUGAAUUUUUUUUCCUUUUUCUCCUCUUCCUUUUCCUCCUGCUUCCAUCCUUCUCCUCUGGUCCCU